rnacentral:misc_RNA from 1 species
GUAUUUGAUUUAAAAAAUCACAUGUUCAGGCAAAAAUUAAAGCGAGUUGGAAAAAAAAAAACCGUCGGCUCGUCCCCGAAAAGACUAUACCGAGGCCUUUUGAUCUAUGAGUGCACAUUGGGAUGAAUCGUGGUCUGCCGAGCGCCCAAAAGGGCAAAACGACAGUUAACCUCGUAAUGAUCCUUCCGCAGGUUCACCUACGGAAA